rnacentral:tRNA from 1 species
CUGGCGGCUGGGCCGCGAGGCCGGGCUGGUCGACGUCCAGCCGAUCGGCGCGGUCACCGUCGGGCUCGCCGGC